GCGCGUGUAGCUCAGUGGUUAGAGCGUCACAUUGACAUUGUGAAGGCCGGGCGGACGCCCGCCCCGCUGGUGGGCGAUCCCACCCUCGCGCA
rnacentral:tRNA from 1 species